UACAGAGGGGGCAAGCGUUGUUCGGAAUUACUGGGCGUAAAGGGCGCGUAGGCGGUUCGUUAAGUCAUGUGUGAAAUCCCCCGGCUCAACUGGGGAACUGCACAGGAAACUGGCGGGCUUGAGUCCGGGAGAGGGAAGCGGAAUUCCGGGUGUAGCGGUGAAAUGCGUAGAUAUCCGGAGGAACACCGGUGGCGGAGGCGGCUUCCUGGACCGACACUGACGCUGAGGCGCGAAAGCUAGGGGAGCAAACGGG
rnacentral:rRNA from 1 species